GUUAUUAAUUGAAUCUAAAUGAAUCUGUACAAUACAAAGCUGUACCUUUUUUGGGUGAAUCAGACACUUGCCAGUAAUGAGGCACAUAUGCUGCAUAAAUAAAGAUUUGGAAGAUAAAAUAGAAAUGUUUAGGAGAAGCAAGUUACGAGAUUAGUUUCAGAUGUUAAAAUCUGAUGAUAAAGCUCUGAUGCUGCAUUUUUUUAAACUUUUAGGUGCAUAUUCUGCAACUGUCAGACAUGAAAAUAGUUUUCAUCAAAGCUCCAAGCACUUCCUUCGGAUCCCCCUGGCUAUUUCAAAAGAUGAAGGAAAAGCAUAUGAUAUUUAUUCCAGACUUUUAAAAGAGAGAAUAAUUUAUGUUAUGGGUGAUAUCACAGAUGAUAUGGCUAGUGUGGUUGUAGCGCAACUUUUUUAUCUUCAAUCUAAAAGUAGUACAGAACCUAUACAUAUGUACAUAAACAGUUCUGGAGGAUUGGUGACUGCUGGAUUUGCAAUUUAUGAUACUAUGCAAUAUAUUUUGCCCCCAGUAGCUACCUGGUGUGUAGGUCGAGCAUGCAGCAUAGCAAGUAUUUUGCUUAGCGCUGGUGAACAUGGUAUGCGGUAUUCUCUUCCUAAUUCUAGUAUAAUGAUACAUCAGCCAUCUGGUAGUGCUUGGCAGGGCCUGUGGCCUUCUUCAAUGUACCUUGAAUGGUACACAGGACAGGGACCAUGGGCGUUUGUGCCCCUCACCUUUCCUCUCCAGCCCACACAAGUACCUUGCCACCCAACCGUCAGUCGUUAGGUACAGUGUCAGACAAAGAUGUUCGAGUUCCAAAAGCCGUGGGAAUUCAAGCUGUGAGCAAGUUUAAUCUAGGUUAAUACUGUACGCCGACUACAUGCGCAGACAUUGUGCACUGGUCAAAAUAGCCCUUCUGAGCACCUAGUACAAUAUAAUGGUCAUUUUCCAUGUGUCUAGAAAGCCAUGUGUUAUGUAUCAUCUACACAUUCCUUCUGCAUAUUUAUGGCUGAGUGGCUGGCGAAGAAAAUUUUCGAUCUAAAGUAACCUUACUACUAUUGGAAAAGAAAAAUCCAUUUGAGGAAGGUGCAGUUACUGAUGUUCAAAUCCACGCUGAACGGCUGUUAUUUCAUAAGAAACAAAUGAAUAGUAUAUUGGCUAAACACACAAAGCAGCCAACUGAAAUCAUUG
rnacentral:misc_RNA from 1 species